rnacentral:rRNA from 1 species
UACGUAGGGGGCGAGCGUUUGUCCGGAUUUAUUGGGCGUAAAGAGCGUGUAGGCGGCCAGGUAGGUCUGCUGUGAAAACUCGAGGCUCAACCUCGAGACGUCGGCGGAAACCAUCUGGCUAGAGUCCGGAAGAGGAGAGUGGAAUUCCUGGUGGAGCGGUGAAAUGCGCAGAGAUCAGGAGGAACACCCGUAGCGAAGGCGGCACUCUGGGCCAGUACUGACACUGAGGAGCGAAAGCGUGGGUAGCGAACAGG